UACGGAGGGUGCAAGCGUUAUCCGGAUUCACUGGGUUUAAAGGGUGUGUAGGCGGAUUUUUAAGUCAGUGGUGAAAUCUCCGGGCUCAACCCGGAAACUGCCAUUGAUACUAUUAGUCUUGAAUUCUGUUGAGGUGGGCGGAAUACAUCAUGUAGCGGUGAAAUGCUUAGAUAUGAUGUAGAACACCUAUUGCGAAGGCAGCUCACUAAGCAGACAUUGACGCUGAGGCACGAAAGCGUGGGGAUCAAACAGG
rnacentral:rRNA from 1 species